rnacentral:rRNA from 1 species
AUUGAACGCUGGCGGCAGGCCUAACACAUGCAAGUCGAACGGUAACAGGAAGAAGCUUGCUUCUUUGCUGACGAGUGGCGGACGGGUGAGUAAUGUUUGGGAAACUGCCUGAUGGAGGGGGAUAACUACUGGAAACGGUAGCUAAUACCGCAUAAUGUCGCAAGACCAAAGAGGGGGACCUUCGGGCCUCUUGCCAUCGGAUGUGCCCAGAUGGGAUUAGCUAGUAGGUGGGGUAACGGCUCACCUAGGCGACGAUCCCUAGCUGGUCUGAGAGGAUGACCAGCCACACUGGAACUGAGACACGGUCCAGACUCCUACGGGAGGCAGCAGUGGGGAAUAUUGCACAAUGGGCGCAAGCCUGAUGCAGCUAUGCCGCGUGUAUGAAGAAGGCCUUCGGGUUGUAAAGUACUUUCAGCGGGGAGGAAGGGAGUAAAGUUAAUACCUUUGCUCAUUGACGUUACCCGCAGAAGAAGCACCGGCUAACUCCGUG